rnacentral:rRNA from 1 species
ACUAGCAGUAAGAGUUUGAUCCUGGCUCAGAACGAACGCUGGCGGCAUGCCUAACACAUGCAAGUCGAACGAGACCUUCGGGUCUAGUGGCGCACGGGUGCGUAACGCGUGGGAAUCUGCCCUUGGGUUCGGAAUAACCAGGAGAAAUCCUGGCUAAUACCGGAUGAUGACGUAAGUCCAAAGAUUUAUCGCCCAAGGAUGAGCCCGCGUAGGAUUAGCUAGUUGGUGAGGUAAAGGCUCACCAAGGCGACGAUCCUUAGCUGGUCUGAGAGGAUGAUCAGCCACACUGGGACUGAGACACGGCCCAGACUCCUACGGGAGGCAGCAGUGGGGAAUAUUGGGCAAUGGGCGAAAGCCUGACCCAGCCAUGCCGCGUGAGUGACGAAGGCCUUAGGGUUGUAAAGCUCUUUUGGCGGGGACGAUAAUGACGGUACCCGCAGAAUAAGCCCCGGCUAACUUCGUGCCAGCCGCCGCGGUAAUAC